rnacentral:rRNA from 1 species
AUGAAGUCAACGGCGUCGAGAUCUGGUGACCACGGGGAAGAUCCCCGACCGACGUGCCACAAAGUCUCGGUCUUGUCACUUGCGGCGGCCUGGUUCAUCGGCUCGAAAAACAUCUUUGUAUGUGACUGUGCUCUCCCGGAUCUCGGUAUGGCGGUUGUUCUUCUCUUUUUUCGGCGUUGCCAUGAUGACGACGGAGGAGUUCAUGGACUAUGUUUCGGCGAGGCACAAGUUUCUUCAAGGGUGGAAUAGUAAUUUUAUUUCUUACGGAAUGCUUUGUGCAAAGUUGCUUGA